rnacentral:lncRNA from 1 species
UUUAAUCAUGCAUAUUUACAGUAGUCAAAAUAAUUUUUAGACAUGCCUUAAAAAUCUGGACUAAGAUAAUUGAUUAUGUACUUAUGAUAAUCGAUUGUGAACUAAUGACAAUUGAUUGUGAGUAAGACAGUAAGCAUCAGGUUUUUUAAACUUGCAUGACAAUCGAUUGUGAACUGAUGACAAUCGAUUGUGACUGAGGCAGUAUCCAUCAAAGU